GACGAACGCUGGCGGCGUGCUUAACACAUGCAAGUCGAACGGAAAGGCCCAGCUUGCUGGGUGCUCGAGUGGCGAACGGGUGAGUAACACGUGGGUGAUCUGCCCCUAACUUCGGGAUAAGCUUGGGAAACUGGGUCUAAUACCGGAUAGGACAAUCGUUUAGUGUCGGUUGUGGAAAGUUUUUUCGGUUAGGGAUGAGCCCGCGGCCUAUCAGCUUGUUGGUGGGGUAAUGGCCUACCAAGGCGUCGACGGGCAGCCGGCCUGAGAGGGUGGACGGCCACAUUGGGACUGAGAUACGGCCCAGACUCCUACGGGAGGCAGCAGUGGGGAAUAUUGCACAAUGGGCGCAAGCCUGAUGCAGCGACGCCGCGUGGGGGAUGACGGCCUUCGGGUUGUAAACCUCUUUCGACAGGGACGAAGCUUUGGUGACGGUACCUGUAUAAGAAGCACCGGCUAACUACGUG
rnacentral:rRNA from 1 species